CAAGAAGUGGGUUCUCUGGGUCAGUCUUCUCCUCUCAUCAAAGGAAACCCUAUCACCGUUAACGAAGAAUGCCACCGCAGGUCUCGUAACUCUUUCUGUACCUGGCGAUUGGCUACUGCGUCUAUUCCGGGUGCUCCCUCCUAUUCAACGAGUUAUCCACGGACGCCAAUCUCCAGGUUAUGCGUCAUACCCAGGGAUCGGUGGUGCUCACGGAAGUCGUCUUGGUCAGGUGCGCUAGUUGCUCAGUCAGUCGUGUUGCUCGUCCUCUGCCGUGCUUGUCAGUCGAAGGUAACAGCUGCUCGGCCCACUGAAUGAUUAGCUUUGAGUGUUGGCAUCGAAACGUGAUCAGGGUACUUUCCUCCAACAAUUUCACAGGAGAGCUAACUGCAACAGUUGCCAACCUCAGUUACUUACAGUAUAUAAAUAUUACAGGGAGUGGACUAAGUGAGCCAAUUCCUUCUAGUAUUUCAAAAUUGAGCAACUUAACUGACUGGAGAAUAAGUUAUUUGAGUGGAUCCGAAAUUUCAAGUUUUCCCGAACUUAGUACUAAGUCGAUGAGAUAUCUGAUUUAAAGGUGUUGCAACAUUCAUGGAACACUUUAAAGGAUCUUGAACUCCGACAAUAAUAUAGACCUCAGCUUUAACAAAUUGAUUGGACCAAUUCCACCUUCCUAUGAGAAGUUGACAAAAAUUUUUAACUGGAAACCUUCUCUGUGGAUCAGUGCCUUCAUGGACGAGCGAUGCUACCAAGUUAUAAUAAUUUCUUUAUCAAAUACCACUUUUUAGUUAGUUGUUUUAGUUAAACACAAUCAUUAAUUUUUUAUUGUUUUAUAUGUUAUCAGUUAAAUUUACUUCUUAAGAGGUUUCUCUAUAGUGUGUGUUUGAUGAACAUCUCCCAUUAUUUUGUUGCCUCUCCCAUUUAUUCUGAAUCACAUUCUAUCCCUUGUAUAUACUAUAAAAUCCCCCUUUGCGUUUAAAUAUUGGAGCUGUUAUGAAAUUGAGGAAUUGUA